rnacentral:rRNA from 1 species
AACGAACGCUGGCGGCAGGCCUAAUACAUGCAAGUCGAACGCUCGUAGCAAUACGAGAGUGGCAGACGGGUGAGUAACACGUGGGAACCUUCCCUAUGGUUCGGAAUAGCUCAGGGAAACUUGAGGUAAUACCGGAUAAGCCCUUACGGGGAAAGAUUUAUCGCCAUUGGAUGGGCCCGCGUCGGAUUAGCUAGUUGGUGGGGUAACGGCCUACCAAGGCGACGAUCCGUAGCUGGUCUGAGAGGAUGAUCAGCCACACUGGGACUGAGACACGGCCCAGACUCCUACGGGAGGCAGCAGUGGGGAAUCUUGCGCAAUGGGCGAAAGCCUGACGCAGCGACGCCGCGUGAGGGAUGACGGCCU